AUUACAGAGUUGCAAAACUCCCAAACCAUUGUGAACGUUACCCAUCCCGUUGCUUCGGCGGGCGGCCCGGGCCCCGUGCCCGGCGCCCCCCGGCCCCCCGUGGGCGCCCGCCGGAGGUAAACCAAACUCUUGAAUUGUAUGGCCUCUCUGAGUCUUCUGUACUGAAUAAGUCAAAACUUUCAACAACGGAUCUCUUGGUUCUGGCAUCGAUGAAGAACGCAGCGAAAUGCGAUAAGUAAUGUGAAUUGCAGAAUUCAGUGAAUCAUCGAAUCUUUGAACGCACAUUGCGCCCGCCAGUAUUCUGGCGGGCAUGCCUGUUCGAGCGUCAUUUCAACCAUCAAGCCCCCGGCUUGUGUUGGGGACCUGCGGCUGCCGCAGGCCCUGAAAACCAGUGGCGGGCUCGCUAGUCACUCCGAGCGUAGUAGUUACAUCUCGCUCAGGGCGUGCUGCGGGUUCCGGCCGUUAAAAGCCUUAUUUACCCAAGGUUGACCUCGGAUCAGGUAGGAAGACCCGCUGAACUUAAGCAUAUCAAUAAGCGGAGGAAAAGAAACCAACAGGGAUUGCCCUAGUAACGGCGAGUGAAGCGGCAACAGCUCAAAUUUGAAAUCUGGCCUCGGCCCGAGUUGUAAUUUGCAGAGGAAGCUUUAGGCGCGGCACCAACUGAGUCCCCUGGAACGGGGCGCCACAGAGGGUGAGAGCCCCGUAUAGUUGGACGCCUAGCCUGUGUAAAGCUCCUUCGACGAGUCGAGUAGUUUGGGAAUGCUGCUCAAAAUGGGAGGUAAAUUUCUUCUAAAGCUAAAUACCGGCCAGAGACCGAUAGCGCACAAGUAGAGUGAUCGAAAGAUGAAAAGCACUUUGAAAAGAGGGUUAAAUAGCACGUGAAAUUGUUGAAAGGGAAGCGCUUGUGACCAGACUUGCGCCCGGCUGAUCAUCCGGUGUUCUCACCGGUGCACUCUGCCGGGCUCAGGCCAGCAUCGGUUCUCGCGGGGGGAUAAAGGUCCUGGGAACGUAGCUCCUCCGGGAGUGUUAUAGCCCAGGGCGUCAUGCCCUCGCGGGGACCGAGGUUCGCGCAUCUGCAAGGAUG
rnacentral:ncRNA from 2 species